rnacentral:rRNA from 1 species
UACGUAGGGUGCGAGCGUUGUCCGGAAUUAUUGGGCGUAAAGGGCUCGUAGGCGGUUUGUCGCGUCGGGAGAUGAAAGUCCACCUGGACUUAACAUGGUGGCUUGCUUUCGAUACGGGCAGACGUGGAGGUAUGCAGGGGAGAACGGAAAUUCCUGGUGUAGCGGUGAAAAUGCGGCAGAUAUCAGGAGGAACACCGGUGGCGAAGGCGGUUCUGCUGGGCAGUGUCCUGACGCUGACGGAGCGAAAGUGUGGGGAGCGAACAGG